GUCUGGGAGGCUUCCUUUAGGAAUGGGGUUGAUUAGGACUAUGAAAAACUAGUCACAGGUGGCCAGGUGAAGAGGGAAGUGCGGACCUGGAAGGGAGCACGAUGCCAGUCAAUGUGUGGAGGUAUUGUGGGGUAAACACAAAUUUUUAAAGAUCGAAUUUUCCCUGGUGUCAAAAGAGAAAGACGUCUCUCUUAGAGCAUUUCCUUUAGAAAACUUGUAACUGUAAAAUUUUCUCUGUCCCUUUGAGAUGUAUGUAAGUCCUUUUAAAAGCUAAAUCUCUUGCCAGUUUUACAUCCCCGGAAUGUUUUUCUUAAGAGCCUUGUAGCCAUCUCUUUGAAAUGUAAACAUCAAUGAAAAUAGCACCCCUGUCUUUCCCUGUCUUCGUGGGAAUUUGAUCUGCGUGCCUGGCUUCAAGUUAUUACCUGCUUGUCAUAGAGAUAUGAGUUUUCGUUUUCCUUUGGAUAAAGGCAAUUAACUAACACAGAUAGCCAC
rnacentral:lncRNA from 1 species